rnacentral:rRNA from 1 species
CCUACGGGAGUCAGCAGUGGGGAAUAUUGGGCAAUGGGCGCAAGCCUGACCCCGCAACGCCGCGUGAAGGAAGAAGGCCCUCGGGUUGUAAACUUCUUUUGUCAGGGACGAAGAAAGUGACGGUACCUGACGAAUACGCCACGGCUACCUACGUGCCAGCAGCCGCGGUAAUACGUAGGUGGCAAGCGUUAUCCGGAUUUACUGGGUGUAAAGGGCGUGUAGGCGGGACUGCAAGUCAGAUGUGAAAUUCCAGGGCUCAACCCUGGAGCUGCAGUUGAACCUGUAGUUCUUGAGAGAGGGAGAGGCAGGCGGAAUGCCGUGUGUAGCGGUGAAAUGCGUAGAUAUACGGAGGAACACCAGUGGCGAAGGCGGCCUGCUGGACAGUAACUGACGCUGAGGCGCGAAAGCGUGGGGAGCAAACAGGAGUAGAUACCCCUGUAGUC